CCUACGGGAGGCUGCAGUAGGGAAUCUUCCACAAUGGGCGAAAGCCUGAUGGAGCAACGCCGCGGGGGUGAAGAAGGUCUUCGGAUCGUAAAACCCUGUUGUUAGAGAAGAAAGUGCGUGAGAGUAACUGUGCACGGGUCGACGGUAUCUAACCAGAAAGCCACGGCUAACUACGUGCCAGCAGCCGCGGUAAUACGUAGGUGGCAAGCGUUAUCCGGAGUUAUUGGGCGUAAAGGGAACGCAGGCGGUCUUUUAAGUCGGAGGUGAAAGCCUUCGGCUUAACCGGAGUAGUGCAUUGGAAACUGGGAGCCUUGCGUGCAGAAGAGGCGCGUGGAACUCCAUUUGUAGCGGU
rnacentral:rRNA from 1 species